AGAUCUUCGGAUCUAGUGGCGCACGGGUGCGUAACGCGUGGGAAUCUGCCCUUGGGUUCGGAAUAACUUCUGGAAACGGAAGCUAAUACCGGAUGAUGACGUAAGUCCAAAGAUUUAUCGCCCAAGGAUGAGCCCGCGUAGGAUUAGCUAGUUGGUGGGGUAAAGGCCCACCAAGGCGACGAUCCUUAGCUGGUCUGAGAGGAUGAUCAGCCACACUGGGACUGAGACACGGCCCAGACUCCUACGGGAGGCAGCAGUAGGGAAUAUUGGACAAUGGGGGCAACCCUGAUCCAGCAAUGCCGCGUGAGUGAUGAAGGCCUUAGGGUUGUAAAGCUCUUUUACCCGGGAUGAUAAUGACAGUACCGGGAGAAUAAGCUCCGGCUAACUCCGUGCCAGCAGCCGCGGUAAUACGGAGGGAGCUAGCGUUGUUCGGAAUUACUGGGC
rnacentral:rRNA from 1 species